rnacentral:rRNA from 1 species
GAUGAACGCUGGCGGUAGGCCUAACACAUGCAAGUCGAACGGCAGCACAGAGGAGCUUGCUCCUUGGGUGGCGAGUGACGGACGGGUGAGGAAUACAUCGGAAUCUACUCUGUCGUGGGUGAUAACGUAGGGAAACUUACGCUAAUACCGCAUACGACCUACGGGUGAAAGCAGGGGACCUUCGGGCCUUGCGCGAUUGAAUGAGCCGAUGUCGGAUUAGCUAGUUGGCGGGGUAAAGGCCCACCAAGGCGACGAUCCGUAGCUGGUCUGAGAGGAUGAUGAGCCACACUGGAACUGAGACACGCUCCAGACUCCUACGGGAGGCAGCAGUGGGGAAUAUUGGACAAUGGGCGCAAGCCUGAUCCAGCCAUACCGCGUGGGUGAAGAAGGCCUUCGGGUUGUAAAGCCCUUUUGUUGGGAAAGAAAUCCAGCUGGCUAAUACCCGGUUGGGAUGGCGGUACCCAAAGAAUAAGCACCGGCUAACUUCGUGCCAGCCGCCGCCGUAA